AUCGUUGUCCAAAACAACAGGAAUUAUCAAGCUUGAUGGAAUAUUUUAUAUAUUAUUCUUUUGAAACAAAAUCUCUGUUUGUUACUAAGAAUUGUGUGUACAGUAGGCAUAAUAUGUUGUUUUAAUAUGUUUAAAGACCAAAUGUUUUCAAUACUCUUGUGCUUAUGUUACUACUGGAGUUGAUUAUAGUGUAUCCAAUGAGAAAUUUGGGAGCAUUUUAAAGUUGAGAUCGACUGAAUUACAGAAGAUGAUAUGGCGUUGAUCCAUUGAUAGCUAAUGCUUUACGAAGAAUCCUCAUAGCAAAGCUAUGCGAAUGGUGCCAUCUGUACCACCAUACCAUCUUGAGAACCGUUGAGUCGUAUUUGGGGGCUCCAUUUCAAUACAUGUACUUCGUUAUUUUAAAUUACUAGGCUCCUACAGUGCAGUUGAGAUAGUCCUCAGGUUGACAACACCUCAGUUGGAUUCAAGACUUUUUUUUAAUUAUAUCUCAGGUCAAUAAUUUAAAUUGUUCUAAUUCCACAUCCAUAUAUUUGAUUGAUAUAUAUGAACAAUAGCUGUCUUAUUCGUCUAUUGUGAUCUGUAGAAAAUGAUGCCCCAAAUGAAAGGAACAUUAUUGUGUACAAACUUCAUGUUUCAUAUAAAAGGGUUCCUCAUGGCAUAUCUUCCCUGCAACCUAACCCUUUUACAGUUUCCAAUCAUAUCACUGAUUUUUCAAUAUGGAUUUUGGCCCUUCCAUCGUGAAUCAUGCAAACCUGCAAAACUAGUUUAUUUCUGAAUAUUCUUCUCCAGGUUAUUCUUUGGUCCCAUGCUAAUUCAUUGCUUUUCAAAACUAAAUACCAUAUUUUGCUCUUACUAAAUAAACUAAAGCAUCAGAUUUGCAAAUUGAUCUUGAAAUUAUAGUCCUCAUUUUUAUAGGAGACAACUGCACAUGCCAGGGUGCAACUGGUAAUUAAAUAAGCUGAUUUGAUGCUGUUAGUGACCUUCAAACAACCAUAUACUAAGUGGAGCAUCCAAUUUAUUAUCUGUUUGAAACAUUACAUCCUAUGUUAUGAGUCUUUAGAUAUGCAGCUAACGGUUAAAUCCCCACAUUUUCUGAAUAUACAGAACAAAUGAGAUGAGGUACCACCUUUACUUCAAUCUAAAAAAAUUCUUAAAAAAGCUAGCCACAACUACUUGUAAUCAUUUAAAAAUACUUUGAUGGCACAUCAAGCAGACUUUACACGGUUCAGAAUAAUUUGCAAAGAAAAAAAUGAGAAGAAACCCUUGGCAGCAAAGCGCGUCUUAUGCUAGUAUUUAUCGAUAUAAUAUUUCAUGUACAAAAAACUCAAUCACCUAAACAAAAUUCUUAAUUAAUUUUCUGAUACAAUUUUCAUUCAUGCACAUAUCACUUAAUCAAACAGUGGAUCCUUAGUUAUUGGUACUUCAGCUUAUUCUUGCCUAUCCAUUUAUCCUUGUUCAACUUGGAAAGCUUUGAUGGCUAGACAUCUUGUUAUCUCCUAUUCUAAUCAAUCAUCCAAGAAAUUACAUUGAUAAAGUUUAAAAAUUAUAUCAAUGAUAAGUCAAGUAUUCCAUUCUUAGUUCUCUUAUUGUCAGCAUAAUCCUGUCAUAUUUGUUGUAAGGAGAUUGAUAUUUUCUACUGAAGUAUUCACAUAGUUUCCUGUACAGUGGAGUUGGGUAAUUUAGAGUGGUUGCGAGAAGGUAGCAGUUAAAUAUGUCAUUUUCUGCUCAAUCUGGGACAAACAAAAGACCUGCACUUCCCUCAGACAAAACCGAAAGGAUAUGUAAGAAAAGUAUCCGAAAGGAUAUGUAAGAAAAGUAUCUUGUUGUGAAAUUUACAGAUAUAACUAUUGUGAGGCCUGGGCCAGGCUAGGUAAGUUUGUGUUGUCAUGGUUUUUCCCAUGACACUAUAUGAUACAUGUACCUGGUGCCUAUAUCUGCUGUAAUUUAGACUUACUAUUUGGAUUAAGGUGAUUUGCUGAGUCCACAUGGUAUAAAGGGACUCCUCCAGUCCAUUCCUGGAAUCCUGUUCUAUAUAGCUUUACCAUUAUUUUGAUGACCAGUCUUUUUUUUUGUGGUUUAAAACAUCAAGCCUGAGUUGAAAUGCAUGAUGAUAUAAACUUCUGUAAAAAUAUUUUCUUGUGGAGACCUACUACUUUGAAAUUCUUUUACUUUUUCAUGGGUUGAUUUUCUGCAAACCAUUGUUUGUUCUAAUAUGGCCACCUAGUUGGUACUAUUUUAGGCGAUUCAGGCCAAAAGAUCAUGCCAAGUGAUCUGCAGUUGCUACAGCUUGGUACAGAAUGCUCCCUGAGGGAAUGUGUCUGGGAAACAAGUAAAAAUAAGGCAUGUUAGAGACCACUCCAUCUUCACGAUGGAGUCCACUGGAGCUCCACCGCCACGGGUGCUCUUCACAGAAGCCGUGAAGAUGCUGCAGCAGAAGUACUGCAAGAGGGUGAUAUCUGAACUGUCUUAUAUAUAGGUCAUUAUAGUCCAGCACAGCUAACAUCUCUAUAUCACUUUGGUGGUCACUGUAGUUCUUUUCAUCAUUAUAUUUUGCUGGUGACAUGUUGUGUGGAAUUGUUUUCCCUGAUGAAACGCCAAAUUAUUAGUAAAUUAGGCUUCUGUCACAGAGAAACAAAAGAUCGACAUUGGAUUUGGUCUCCCAGUUUACCAAGCACGUCAUUUGCAACUGCAGUUUUGCCUCCUGUACUUAGGCCAGGGCCUCCACUCCUGCACAUCUGAGAAAGCGAGCGUGGUUUGGAUUCUGUUCUCACAGAAAGCGAGUGUGGUUUGGUAAAGGUGCCGUUCUCCGGUGCGUAAUGUAUACUGACAAUGCCUUGAGCACCCGAUGAAAAAAAAAUUAACUGUCAAGAUCGGCGGAUAAUGAUGUAAUGGACCAGUUUACUGUGUCAGUACAAAUAGGGGUUAAUCAGCUCGGUUCACUAUCUUACCAAAGCUUGGUCACAUCGAAAUUUUUGUUUGUUAGCAAACCAAACAGCCCCCUUCAAAUUAUGCUCUGAAAUUUCAGUUAUUUUCUGUCCAACCAUCUAUUUGCUAGUACACAUUUUGCUGUGCCCUACUGAAUUUUUGUAGUGUCCGGACUUUUAUUAGCUGAGAUUAUUCGCUGCACGUGAAAUGAGACAAGUAA